rnacentral:rRNA from 1 species
UGCAAGUCGAACGCGAAAGCGGGGCAACCCGCAAGUAGAGUGGCGAACGGGUGAGUAAUACAUCGGAACAUUUCCAGUAGCGGGGGAUAACCUGUCGAAAGAUAGGCUAAUACCGCAUACGACCUAAGGGUGAAAGCGGAGGACCGCAAGGCUUCGCACUAUUGGAGUGGCCGAUGUCGGAUUAGCUAGUUGGCGGGGUAAAAGCCCACCAAGGCGACGAUCCGUAGCUGGUCUGAGAGGACGAUCAGCCACACUGGAACUGAGACACGGUCCAGACUCCUACGGGAGGCAGCAGUGGGGAAUUUUGGACAAUGGGCGCAAGCCUGAUCCAGCCAUGCCGCGUGAGUGAAGAAGGCCUUCGGGUUGUAAAGCUCUUUCGGUGGGGACGAAACGGUUUGUGCUAAUACCACGGACUAAUGACGGUACCCGAAGAAGAAGCACCGGCUAACUACGUGCCAGCAGCCGCGGUAAUACGUAGGGUGCAGGCGUUAAUCGGAAUUACUGGGCGUAAAGCGUGCGCAGGCGGUUUGUUAAGACAGAUGUGAAAUCCCCGGGCUUAACCUGGGAACUGCGUUUGUAACUGGCAAGCUAGAGUGUGGCAGAGGGGGGUGGAAUUCCAAGUGUAGCAGUGAAAUGCGUAGAUAUUUGGAGGAACACCAAUGGCGAAGGCAGCCCCCUGGGUUAACACUGACGCUCAUGCACGAAAGCGUGGGGAGCAAACAGGAUUAGAUACCCUGGUAGUCCACGCCCUAAACUAUGUCAACUGGUUGUCGGGGAAGCAAUUCCUUGGUAACGAAGCUAACGCGUGAAGUUGACCGCCUGGGGAGUACGGCCGCAAGGUUAAAACUCAAAGGAAUUGACGGGGACCCGCACAAGCGGUGGAUUAUGUGGAUUAAUUCGAUGCAACGCGAAAACCUUACCUACCCUUGACAUG